UAUACAAAAAAAUUAUAUACAAAUUAUAUUUAUAUUUAAAUUUCAACCCCAUAUACCCAUUUAUAAAUAUUAGAAUAAAAAUGUAAAAAGCUAUUUUUUAUUCCCUGUAACGUAUUUUAAUGGAAUUAAAUAAAUUUUAACAAAUCGAGAUCGUUAAUAUAGCGUGGGACGAUUAUUUAAACGACGACCAUUUUUGGUAAAAACCCCUACAUUUUUACGUUAUUUUCAAUUAUAUAAGUUUAUUAAAAUAACUCGUCCGAAUUUAAACUGUAAAUUGCGGAGGGGCUGGUCGUUUUACCAGUUUAAAAUUUGCAAUAAAAAAUAUAAUUUUAAUUAUUAUAAUUUCAAGAUGGGUUUCCAUUUUUUCAACCAAAUUUUCGACGUUGGUAACAAAUGUUUUUGUUUUUUUACCCUGUCUUUCCAAAAGGACGAUAACCUAAGGUUUUGCAGUUUUGUUUUUGCCAAAAUUUUCAAUUUCCGCAAAAUAAUAUUUUUAAAUCGAGUUUCCAUAUAAUUAAUACGCAUUUUUUACUAUAUUAAUAUUUGUUUGCGUCCCAUUACCGUUCGUAUAAUAAAUAUGUAUUUUUUUUUUACAACCAAUGGCCGCAAAUUAUUUGGCCAAGGUAUAAAUUAAAUUUGCGUUUAUUAGGUGCCAAAAUUAUUUUCAAACCAUUAAUCCUAUUUUAAUUAAUAUUAAUCCUACAAAUGUUUUCGCCAAACCAGUAAAUUACGCGUUUUCAGGUAUUAUUCCGGUAAUAUUUAACCGCUGUACCUAAUCCACCUCCCGUUUAUUUACGAAAAUUAUUAUAUUUUAUUAUUAUUUGUUUAUUAGUUAUUUAUUCCAUCGUUAACCCGAAAAUACAAAUUGAAAAAUUGAAUUUUAGGAUUUUAACAAAUAUCGGCUGUCGCCCGGUUAAAUGGGAAUAUUUUUUAUUUUUGCCGCCUGUUUCCAAAAUAUACUAUUCUCCAUAAUAAAAAAAAUAUUGGCAGUUUUUAGCUUUAGUUUAUUGGGGCCAAUAGUUGGUAAAAAUACCUAUUAGAAAUUUUUAUGGGAAUGGGCUAAUAACCCCGCAAAUUUAUUUGCAGUUUGGUGGCAAUUUGCUUACGCGGGAUUCGUUCCCCAAAGUUCUUUAUUUAAUUUUUUCCAAAAAUUUGGUAUAAUCUGGGGUCGAUUUUAAUUUGCAAAAAUCCAAGUUAUAAUAUUGCGUACCCCUGUUCGGCGCCCUGAAAAUCUAAUAACAAAAUGCCUGCUUUUAUAAAUUAAUUUAAAUACAAAAUUAUUAACGCACAAAAAUAUAAUCGUUUUUAGGUUAUUCCGGUUUAUUAACCUUUUUUUUAUUAGUUAAAAAUUCCAAAUCUUUUAUAUUAUUUUUUUAAAAUCCAAUAACGUUUUAUUUGCUAAUUAAAAACUCGUUUGGAUCCGGAACCACCCUUUUCCUUUUUACCGGCCGUAUUACCUCCAAUUGUGCUUCCAAUAUUUCCGCAGGACAGAUUUUGGAAUCGCAUAAUUCCCAAAUGCACCAAAAUAUUAAUACAGAAAUUUAAAACAUUCCUUAAAUAAAUUAAAUUAAUAAAAGUUCGCCCAACGACUAUAUCCACGCUAAAAUAUAAAAAGGGUGCGAUGUUUGAAAAAUUUUAUAUCCGCAAAAUUGCCUUAUAUUACGGCCAGGUAUACCUUGGAAAACCUUAAUAUAUUAGACGUUAUCGACGAAAAUUUUAAAUUGAGGAAAAAGAGAAAUUA
rnacentral:sRNA from 1 species